UACGUAGGGUGCGAGCGUUAAUCGGAAUUACUGGGCGUAAAGCGUGCGCAGGCGGCUUGCCAAGUCAGAUGUGAAAGCCCCGGGCUCAACCCGGGAACUGCGUUUGAAACUGGCAGGCUAGAGUUUGGCAGAGGGGGGUGGAAUUCUCGGUGUAGCAGUGAAAUGCGUAGAGAUGCGGAGGAACACCGAUGGCGAAGGCAGCCCCCUGGGCUAACACUGACGCUCAGGCACGAAAGCGUGGGGAGCAAACAGG
rnacentral:rRNA from 1 species